UGGUGGCGACCGGCGCACGGGUGCGUAACGCGUAUGCAACCUACCUUUAACAGGGGGAUAACACUGAGAAAUUGGUACUAAUACCCCGUAAUAUCAUAGAAGGCAUCUUUUAUGGUUGAAAAUUCCGAUGGUUAGAGAUGGGCAUGCGUUGUAUUAGCUAGUUGGUGGGGUAACGGCUCACCAAGGCGACGAUACAUAGGGGGACUGAGAGGUUAACCCCCCACACUGGUACUGAGACACGGACCAG
rnacentral:rRNA from 1 species